GCACAUGUUUAAUUCAAAAAUUCUUUCUUCAGUUAGGUGACUAUAUAAUUAGAUUAUUCUGUAUGUAAAUGAUAUUUCACUACCUCAGACUUAACCAUAGUUGCUUAAUUAGAUUUCAGCAAGGCCCACAUCUUCCAGCUUUGAUUAGGAAUCAUCUUAUUUUCUGAAGUACUAUUUUUCAAACUUUUUCUGAGGCAAUCAAUCCUAUCAGUGACUCUUCUCAUUAUUGGGAGUGGUUCUAACAUAGCCUUAUGAUAAAAAUCCUUAGUCCUGGAUAUGGCUUAACUGAGAGAAGUAUCUCUGCAGAUUUUCCAACACAG
rnacentral:lncRNA from 1 species